rnacentral:rRNA from 1 species
AGUGAACGCUGGCGGUAGGCCUAACACAUGCAAGUCGAACGGCAGCACAGUAAGAGCUUGCUCUUACGGGUGGCGAGUGGCGGACGGGUGAGGAAUACAUCGGAAUCUACUUUUUCGUGGGGGAUAACGUAGGGAAACUUACGCUAAUACCGCAUACGACCUACGGGUGAAAGCAGGGGAUCUUCGGACCUUGCGCGAUUGAAUGAGCCGAUGUCGGAUUAGCUAGUUGGCGGGGUAAAGGCCCACCAAGGGUACGGUCCGUAGCUGGUCUGGGAGGAUGGUCGGCCCCACUGGACCUGGGACACGGUCCAGACUCCUACGGGAGGCAGCAGUGGGGAAUAUUGGACAAUGGGCGCAAGCCUGACCCAGCCAUCCCGCGUGGGUGAAGAAGGCCUUCGGGUUGUAAAGCCCUUUUGUUGGGAAAGAAAAGCAGCAGGUUAAUACCCCGCUGUUCUGACGGUACCCAAAGAAUAAGCACCGGCUAACUUCGUG